CACAUUCCCACUCACAUAAGUUUAAAAGCAUCUGCUAUACUGCUGAAUGUGGUAUACUGCUGAAGAGUUCCUUUGGACAGCAAAGUAGAAAGCCUGAUGAUGCAGAAGCUUACAGGAAAAGCUUCAUUUCAUAUUUCAAGACAAAUGACUUACAACUUCCACUGAGAAGUCAGACCAAAGGUCCAUCUCUCUGAUUAUCCUGAAUUCUGCAAUGUCUAAGUACACCUAACGAAUCACAACAGAGCCAAAAUAUAUGGCAUAUCCUAUCAACAUUUUUGUACCUUCUACCUAUUUUCAGCUUGAGACAUUUCUGAGCCAUAAGUGGCUUCUAAGUAUUUAGUAAAUAUAUACGGAUUUGUCUUCCUUGAACUCAUUCAGUUGUCCCCUACGAGUAUGCAAAAUGCUUAGCCUUGACAGCAACACUGAAGGAGGAGCUGCCAUCUCCUCAACAGUACCAAUGAAUCUUCAGAAUGAGAAUCAGGUCUUACACUGAAGUUAAGAAGCAUAGAGCAGAGCAGCAAGGGGUACUAGUACCUGGAGUACCUGGAGAAAGAGAAUAUGUGUUACCUUCAGUAAUACACCACCGUCCCUGCAAUUUGUCCUUGUACAGUCAUGUUGCACUUUGCCAUUAAUACGUCCUCAGCUCUCACCAACUGCAGCUAUGCAUUAUUUCCUAUUUUUUUCUUUUCAAAAUAAUGUUCUGCACUACCAUUUCUAAAAUGCAAUAAAGAUUCCUUACAGAAGCUCUAAAUCAAAGGCUAGAUUUGAGAAUACUGUUACUUCACAAAAAUAUUCAACAAAAAUGGUAUUUAAAUCUUAAUAAUAACAAUGUGGUAUCAGUUGUCAUGUGCUAGAGUGUUCGGCGUUUAUUACUGAAUAAUUUAAGAUCCUUACAUGCAAAUUGUUCUGACAGACAUAAUUUGAAAACAAACACUGGCAUUUGUUUUGUUACCACCACUGUUGUUUUCAAGUACAAUUUUUGCAGCAUAAAUAAAAACAUACUUACAUUGUGACUAGGACAAUGCUGUCUACAAAAUUCCCAGUGGUUUGGCAUUUGUGAUUCAUUUCUCUUCAUUCUUUAAAGCAUUUAUACAUGUAAUGGUUUUGAACUGUUAGCUCACUUGUAAUGUUGACAAAUUCUUAGUAAGCACUCACAGAUUAUUAAGCUGAACUUUCUAUUGCUAUUUAAAGGAUAAACAAAAUGUCAGUUUACAGUUUUAUGAAAAGGCAUGUUUUGAAAACAAAGAAAUAUAAAAGCUUUCAUGUCCACAAGGAUUUGAACAUACAAAAAUUAUCUGAAGUCAGAAAAUCAUAGAAGGAUACACUAUGGUUAUCAUAUUAAAAAAAAAAAUCAGAGGUCAGAAAGGGGAAGCCUAAAGCAACUAACUAGAAACUAAAACUCUGUGAAGGUUUGUAACACCCAGAAAAGAUACAGAUUACCUCAAAAUUAUAUAUAAGCUCCUACUGUGUGAAAUCCCACAAAAUUUAUAUCGUGGUAAACAAGUAGGAAAAAUGAAUAAGAUUAUCUCAAUUCCAAUGGCUCCAAUUUUUUAUGUAAUCAAUUGAACACCAGAACUGCUUCACACUCAGGUACAUCCCUAAAGAGAACUAAACUGCUCACUCAUUAUUAGUACUUAAUCAGCUUGGUGCUGCCUGUUGGUUUUCACUGGUCUUAGAAUGGAGAAAGGACUGCAGCACAUUUCAGAAUUUACACUAGUCCAGAUGCUGCAAGGACAAACACACUGCUAUAUAAAGAUCUUCAAGUUACUCAAAAAUCUUUGAAUUCAUUUGCUCCCUUUAACAUCUCCUCUUGUAUGCACCAUAACUCCAUAAGAAACUGUAACAUUUAGAAUUAAAGUAUGUUCUUUAAAGAAGCAGUAGAGAAAAUAAUCUCCAAUUUUAUUGAGAAAUUUCUUUUCGGUAUGCAAAUAUCAUAUCAGACAGUAGGGGGCAACUUUAACCCACAAGUCAUACUUUAUGAGUUCUGCUAUAUAAGGACAUGAAAUGGUAGUUUCAAUAUUUACCUAAGUUUGUUGUGUGGUCUGUAUCAAUUUUGUAAAAUGUAAGGUUUCAUUUUUUAACCCCUGCUUUGAUCUCCAGGCAGUAUGCUGAGGAAAUAUCUGGUUUAUAUAGCAGAAAAAAUGAUGCAAGGUAAAAUAAGAAACUACACUCUCAAAGCUCUUGAGAAACUGAUGGACAACUACAUUCACCUAGCUUACUGUCACAGGGUUUGUGAGAAACCAACCUCAUAAGCAUAUAUUUCCACACUUGCAAUUUGGCAAGCAAUGCUUUCUUGAUGAAGCAGUUUAUAAAAGAAGUAAUUUAACAACCUAAAAAAUAGAGCAGACAGUAACAUAAAAGCUAUUAAAAUCAGCAAAAUAUUCAUUAAUGCUGUUACCAUGUAAAAUUAACUGUGUUUACCAAUAAAUCUUUAUUUAAGGAUAAAUUGGUGUUCUAUGUUGCGUGUCAUGUUUUGUAUCACCUGAAAAAUAAGUUUUGUUCUUAAUUUCCCAGGACUGCAAAUGCUAACUACACAGGCAUGGCAUCAGAGGACAUAAGAAGUCAACAGAGUAUUUCUUCAUUGCAUAAUUACGACUUGUGGAUUAGAAGAGUAUAACAGUUAUGGAAUUUAAUAUGCUAUUAAUUGAUUUCCCUUUAACAUUCACUCUUAAAAUUAUCAUAUUGGUGAAAGUUGAGUGAAAGUAUUUUCACAUCAAAUCCAGCCAAUUGGAACACCUAAAAACCCCUAUAGCCCAGAGCUGGCCUUGAUAGAAGGUUCACAAAACAAAGUGGUUAGGCCUGGAGUGAGAUUUAGCAAAUUUGGGGCAAAAUCAUGAUUUCAAGUAAAGGAUGUCAAACACUGGAAAGCAACUCAUACAGAACUUCAUGCUCCAUUUAAGCUUCAAACAUGAGGGUAAAGUACACUGGAUGACAAGCUACAAUAACAAAGUAAGAAACUGAUUGCAGACCUUUCUUAUGAAGUGCCCUGAGACCCUUCAAUAACACACUACGGAUCUGCUUUUUUUCAGCAAUGCUAGCAAUUACUUCUCUGAACACAACCCCACCUUAAAACAUAAAACUUCUGUUUCGGUUAGUGCACUUAAGCUGUAUUUUUCCUAAUAGACAGAGCAUAGCAUAAACAAGGAUUACAAGAUGUGAAAAACAUCCACCCUCCAGCAUUUCCUGAAAUGAACUUACAUUUCAUGUUAAUACUCAAAAAGCAUGUGUAAGUGGUACCAACCAUACUACAUUAGAAAGAAAACUAAUCAUUAAAACACAGAAACAACAACAACAACAAAAAAACACAACCACCAAGCAGACAUUUUACCACCAGAGAUUACUACUUCAUGAUCCUAUAAUUUGUGCCCUUUAACAACUUACUGUUUGGGGCUUUCUUUUCUUUUUUUUUUUUUUUUAACCCAUGGCUGAGAAACAUCUUGCUAUUUUACUGUCUGAUGGGACUGAAUGCCAUGCGAAACCAAACCACUGAUUUCCAUUCCUUUUUCAUUAGGAAACGAGGAGGUGCAAUUCCUCUGGCUGAGAUCAUGUCAUGCUGGAGGGACGGCCUGCCAGACUGUGCUAGGUUAUUCUGAAAUUAGGGAAGAGAAAGCACACAUCUGGUUAAAUAUGCCCCAUAAGUAAGGUGACAGCAGAGGCUUUUGGAAGCAUUUUUCUUAUGUAAACACCUUAUGAGAAUUGGCUCAAUGUGAAAAGAGAUGAAAGGACAAACAAAAUCUCACAUACAGAGCUCAGUAUUAAAGCUCAUUUCAUCAAGACCACCAUUUUCUCUAUGAUGUUUGCUUUUUCCAUUUGCCUGUUUGUUAUUUUUUAGUCUAUCUCCAUUACCCAGCAUGACUGCAGUGUGAUUUUCUCCGCCUCAGACUCAUCCCCCAGUUUCCUUGCACACACAACAAUCUAUUUUCCUCAGGCACUCAACAUCUACCAGCCACUUCACUUACUGUAGGCAUACUCAGCUUCUAGGUCUUUGAGGUUCUCCCUCUACUUCCUUCCUCCUCACUUGCCCCAGCAACAGUCAGGCUACUUACUGGUGUGCUCCGACCUCAACCUUGCUGGCAAUGCUCAGUGCCUCUCCUCAGUGAGGGGAAAGCCCCAGUUUGAGCUGAAUCAAGGGAAGUUAUGAAAGCUUGCUUGUUCUUUCUGUUUUCUCCCAGAUCAUGGGCACUGAUGUGUAGAAUUAGCUUAAACGAUCACUGCUUUCCACAACAUGUGGGAUCCAUCAAUAUCUAUACAGAGGUUAUGUUGCAGGAUUCUGUCCUAUUUGUCAG
ensembl:lncRNA